AUGUCAUGUGUCUAUACACUAAGUAAACUAAAAGGAUUGAAGUUGUACAAAUGGUUUGUGUUUUGAGAACAUGCAUAUUUAUAUUAUUAUUUUAUUACAAAAUAAGAAUGAUCCAUAAUUUUAGUUCUAUUGCUUAUUAUUUGGCCAAACAAACUGCUAUUUGUUAAACUAGGAUUUUCAUCUGUUCACAAACUCCUUCUGAAAAUUCAUAUGGAUCCACUCCUUGAAUCAUUUUUAAAAGUGAAAAAAUGAUCAUUUAAAAGUCAACUCAAGCCACCAAUAGUAACCCUCAAAAUAACUGUUCCAUGUGUACAAAAUUGGAUGAGACUAGAGUCUCACAGAGAAUGAAGCAGCAUUCCCAGGGCCUGCAAGGGAUAGUACAAGCUCCUCUUCACAUAUGUCAUGGCUGCUAGCUUGGUAUUGUUCUGAGACUCAUAACAGCUCAAGUGAAUAUCUGACUCUUCUGUGUGCUCUUAGAACUCUUUUUCUCCUAUUGUCUUUGUCUCUUGUUUCUUGGAGAUCUGCUCUUUUCUGAUAGACAGCAGAGAAGAGGUGUGUGUGAGGGAUUGUGUGUUGGGGAUAAGUAUUGUACCAGAGGAAAACCAUGGUUAGGAUGGACUAUAUGAGAGAGGAACUGUUGAUGCCUACUUCUGAACACCAACAAGAAUAUUUUCAAUACUGAAAAAGGAAGAAAAAAGUCUGGAAUAUGUUCUUUUAUACAAAACAUUUCUAAAGAAUAUUAUAAAAUUACUAGAGAUCACGUGAAAUCUUCAGCAAAGGUGUAGUAUAAUUUGAUGUAGAAAAUAUAGUAUCUUGUAACUGAGCCAUUUUUAACUUAAAAGUAAGAAAAUGUGUCAAAUGCAAGAUUCUCUGUAUUUUAACUGUAGUUAGUUAAGGCUCUAUCAAUUUUAUAUUGAACCUGACUGAUUUUGAAUUUUAUUUACCAAAAUAAGUCAUGAUAAUAGGUAAGUACUACACAUGCAUACCUAAAUCAUGUCAGCACCAUGCUAAGUUUCAUAUGAAAGGGUUUCAGUUUUGUGGCAUCAUGCUUGCUUAGUGUGCCUAAGGUCUCACUUCAAGUGCAAAAUAAAUGCAUACAUAGAUGAAAAAUCAGUUCUUUAUUUUUUGUCAGCUCCCAGAAAACUGUGUUUUAUAGCUGUGUUAGGGUGCACAUAUCACUUAAAUGGUUUCUGAAAUGUGUACUCCAGCAACCUAUAUCCUGUAUCUCUUUUCUAUGUUACAUAUUUGUUUCUAAACUCUGUGUCCACAGUCUGCCUUGAAUUGGGGAAAUUUUCAAAUGUUUGACAUAAGAUUAGAAACAUGGUAAAUUAGUGAAAAAUAUAGUUGCAAAAUAGAAAAAAAAAGUGUUUUCUAUAAGAACUAAUUUUCCACUUAUAAAGUAAGUCAAAAACUACUAUACUGAAAGAAAGAUGAAAUUUCAAGACCUGUAAGUCAUAUAAAGUACUCAGAAAUUGCUGGUUGUUUGUGAGCCUAGAGGCUGCCUGGGGCUGAGAAAAAAGAAAAACAAACCCGGGCAUGCCCCGUAGUUAAAACAUUCCUGGGAACAGCUUGACCAUAAAGAUAAAGAAGAAUGUGAGGACAUAAUAGGGCUAUCUGAACUGAGUCAAAUUGACCAGAUAUUCUGCUAGCAUUGAUAAACAUCCAACUCACAGAACUCUGACACCUUGAUCUGCACGUACAUGUAAUUUUUCUGCUGAUGUUUGAAUAAGCCAAUAGUGUGUCGCUAUGCUGAAUUUCCCACCCCUAAGCCCUUUACCCCAUAAAAACCCCUAGCUUUCCAGCCUUGGGGCCGACAUGCAUUAUCUCCUGUGUGAGAUACAUGUCAACUCCAUCAUUAAACUACCUCAUGUAUUUACAUCAAGACGGUCUUUUCGUGAUUCUUUGGAUCCACGCCAAAUCAAGAAUUGAGUGGGGGUUUCCCCACUAGGUUCUAUCAAUACCACUUGAGUAAACUUGCAUAUUAACUAUAUGUGAGAAAUCAUUUUGGGUUACUUUUAUAUAAUAUUUUAUUUAAUUACACAGUUUGUAUUACAAGGAAUAAAUAACUAUAAUUUAGGUACAUUAUUUGUAAGCUGAUCCUAUGAUCAUAAUUUGUUCCUUAUGUAUAAAGCAAUUUUAAUCCAGCAACAUGGCUGUUCUGGAAAGGGAUCACAUGCUACAGCUGGUAUGCAAACACACCCUGGAUUACAAUAACCAUGAAAGAAAUGUUAGUUUGGAAAAGGAAAAAGCCAUGCUUGAACAUGACAUCUAGUUGAGAGGCCAGCAAAGUGAAGAAUCAGAAAAGGAUUUGACAGAGUGAGUUAGAGACAGGAUACUCUGAACUCCCAGGAGAACAACACAGGAAAGAAAGGCUACUGUAGAGCAGCAUAGAGAAGGUUUGUGAUGUUUGUGGGUAUGUGGCAGUUUUAGCAGAACAGAUUUACAAAGACAGAUGGCAGAGAGAACAAUCUAGACAGGGGUGAAGACCAAAUGAACCAGAGAAUGAGAAGGAACUGGGAGAUUGGGCAACAUUUCCAAAGUUAGUAUGAGACCAGGCAGAGAAAUUCGGUAAGAAGCCAGGAGAAGCCAGAUUGAAUCAGUUAGAUAGGAAGAUUAGAUUUUACAGAGGCUAGAAACUUUCAUGUCUAGGCCUAAGGAUAGUUACCAACAGAGAAUGAAAUGCUGUAUGCUCAGCAGAGCUGUGUAAAUACACACUUUGGGUAAAGUUCUCAUCCCAUCCCUUCAUCUGAGGAAAGAAAAGCAAAUUUUACACAUAUGCUAACUUCUCUUAUGGGUCUUAUUUUCCAUCUUGCUUACAAAUAAAAACAACAAAUACUACACUAGCUACUCCUGCCAUUCACAAAUGAAGAGUCAACUUUGCUGGGAUUUCCAUAGGCAUGUACCUCCUUUCAGGGAAAGACAAAAUAUUUUCCAAGUGAUUGGUUUUGACCUUAUGCUCAUAUACAAUGUUGCUUUAACAGCGAAUCUACAUUAGCAUUAGCAAAGAUUUUAUAUCCAUUUGAAAUAUUUUAAAUUGUAAAUUCUUAAAAAAGGAAGAAACACAAAGUUUGUGAAAAAAUGAUCAUUAAAGCCUCUGGGUUUUUGUUUUGCUAUUUUGCAGAUAAUAAGCCAAAUGGAGCCUUAUAUUUUAUUUAUGAAAAUAUAUAGUGUGAUUAAAAAUUAGAAGUUUGUGCAUGUCAUUAAAUGUUUUCUACAUGACAGAAUGGGUGAAGUAGCCCAGUUCCUUGUUCUUCAGCACUAUUUCAGAAAUAAAUCUACUAAUUCCAC
rnacentral:lncRNA from 1 species